GAAACCAGGCAAAUUUCUGCCUUGAUCAGGAACAACCUGUUCCCACAUCCUCCCUUUUCAGCCCCCCUGAGAUCCUCCAACUCUUCUCUGUACUAGAGGGUAUAUCUCUCACCCCCUGGUUCUCUACUUCUUCUCUUUCUUUUUUUCUCUGCAUCUUUCAUGCAACCCCUUUCACUCCUACCAAAUCAAUAUAUGAAGCCUCCGGAGCAGCCCCGAUAGGUCCAGCAUUCGACUCCAUGGUCAUAAAGGAUGCUGCUGUGGGGUCUGUGUAAUGCCUGUGCCUGCUACGUUCACCUCCUAACAUGAGGACUAUGUUAACCCCGCCUCACUGGGAAGACACCUGGGAAGUUCCCUAGUGGCAUGAAUUAUGUUUGCAUCCACAAUAAUGGAAGAUGCUUAGAUCCUCUGAGUAGAAUCAGUUGCUGAAUAAACUGAAAGAGAACAGCUUUGAGUUCAUCCAGUAGGCACCACAAUCAAAAGCCAAGAGCUAGAAACCCUUUGUUUUAAAUCACACUACGUGAGAAGGCCCUGAACGUGUGGGUCAUGGUUUCAUCUGUCUGAGGACACCUUUAUACGUACUCGGGAAUUUCC
rnacentral:lncRNA from 1 species